rnacentral:rRNA from 1 species
AACGAACGCUGGCGGCAGGCCUAACACAUGCAAGUCGAACGCUCCGCAAGGGGAGUGGCGCACGGGUGAGUAACACGUGGGAACCUACCUUCUGGUACGGAACAACCAAGGGAAACUUUGGCUAAGACCGUAUACGACCUCCGGGUGAAAGAUUGAUCGCCGGAAGAGGGGCCCGCGUCCGAUUAGGUAGUUGGUGAGGUAACGGCUCACCAAGCCUUCGAUCGGUAGCUGGUCUGAGAGGAUGGACCAGCCACACUGGGACUGAGACACGGCCCAGACUCCUACGGGAGGCAGCAGUGGGGAAUAUUGGACAAUGGGCGCAAGCCUGAUCCAGCCAUGCCGCGUGAGUGAUGAAGGCCUUCGGUUGUAAG